rnacentral:rRNA from 1 species
GACGAACGCUGGCGGCGUGCUUAACACAUGCAAGUCGAACGGAAAGGCCCUGCUUUUGUGGGGUGCUCGAGUGGCGAACGGGUGAGUAACACGUGAGUAACCUGCCCUUGACUUUGGGAUAACUUCAGGAAACUGGGGCUAAUACCGGAUAGGAUCUCCUGCUGCAUGGUGGGGGUUGGAAAGUUUCGGCGGUUGGGGAUGGACUCGCGGCUUAUCAGCUUGUUGGUGGGGUAGUGGCUUACCAAGGCUUUGACGGGUAGCCGGCCUGAGAGGGUGACCGGCCACAUUGGGACUGAGAUACGGCCCAGAAUCCUACGGGAGGCAGCAGUGGGGAAUAUUGCACAAUGGGCGGAAGCCUGAUGCAGCAACGCCGCGUGCGGGAUGACGGCCUUCGGGUUGUAAACCGAUUUCGACUGUGACGAAGCGUGAGUGACGGUAAUGGGUAAAGAAGCACCGGCUAACUACGUG